rnacentral:rRNA from 1 species
UACGGGGGGGGCAAGCGUUGUUCGGAAUUACUGGGCGUAAAGCGCACGUAGGCGGACAUUUAAGUCAGGGGUGAAAUCCCGGGGCCUCAACCCCGGAACUGCCUUUGAUACUGGGUGUCUAGAGUAUGGAAGAGGUGAGUGGAAUUCCGAGUGUAGAGGUGAAAUUCGUAGAUAUUCGGAGGAACACCAGUGGCGAAGGCGGCUCACUGGUCCAUUACUGACGCUGAGGUGCGAAAGCGUGGGGAGCAAACAGG